UCGACAUCAUUAAUAUUAGUCUCUUCUAUAAAAGGACCAUCUUGAGACUUAGUGUUAUAUAUCCCAUUUAAUCCUCUCCUUCUCUUCGUUCUGAAUUUUCUCUUCAAAUCUUUUUCUUUAUAAUCAUUUUUUUUAGAUGCUAAAAAGAUCUCCAUCAACCUCCUUGAUGAUUGUAUUCAUAGACAGAACAUCCGAUCGUAUCUUAGAAUGGUUUUUUCAGAUUUUUUUAUAUGAG
rnacentral:lncRNA from 1 species